rnacentral:rRNA from 1 species
ACGGGAGGCAGCAGUGGGGAAUAUUGCACAAUGGGGGAAACCCUGAUGCAGCGACGCCGCGUGAGUGAAGAAGUAUUUCGGUAUGUAAAGCUCUAUCAGCAGGGAAGAAAAUGACGGUACCUGACUAAGAAGCCCCGGCUAACUACGUGCCAGCAGCCGCGGUAAUACGUAGGGGGCAAGCGUUAUCCGGAUUUACUGGGUGUAAAGGGAGCGCAGACGGCAGUGCAAGUCUGAAGUGAAAGGCAUGGGCUCAACCCGUGGACUGCUUUGGAAACUGUACAGCUCGAGUACCGGAGGGGUAAGCGGAAUUCCUAGUGGAGCGGUGAAAUGCGUAGAUAUUAGGAAGAACACCGGUGGCGAAGGCGGCUUACUGGACGGUAACUGACGUUGAGGCUCGAAAGCGUGGGGAGCAAACAGGAUUAGAUACCCUGGUA